UAGCUUUCUGGGACCCGUCUUGAAACACGGACCAAGGAGUUUAGCGUGUGCGCGAGUCAUUGGGUGUCAAAACUUAAAGGCGAAAUGAAAGUGAAGGAAACUUUGUUUUCGAGGGAGGAUGGGUUAGGUCCCUCUCCAGGGCCGGCCUCGCACUCCCGGGGCGUCUCUAUCUCAUCACGAGAGGAGGCGCACCUAGAGCGUACACGCUGAUACCCGAAAGAUGGUGAACUAUGCCUGGCCAGGACGAAGCCAGGGGAAACCCUGGUGGAGGUCCGCAGCGAUUCUGACGUGCAAAUCGAUCGUCGGAGCUGGGUUUAGGGGCGAAAGACCAAUCGAACCAUCUAGUAGCUGGUUCCCUCUGAAGUUUCCCUCAGGAUAGCUUGCGCUCGGACGAAACGAGUCUCAUCCGGUAGAGCGAAUGAUUAGAGGCCUUGGGGUCGAAACGACCUCAACCUAUUCUCAAACUCCAAAUAGAUGAGAACCCCGGCUUUCUUGAACCAUUUCUAUGAAGCCGGGGGCUUGGAUCAGAGUGCCAAGUGGGCCAAUUUUGGUAAGCAGAACUGGCGCUGUGGGAUGAACCAAACGCGGAGUUAAGGCGCCUCAAUCGACGCUCAUGUGAAACCAUGAAAGGCGUUGGUUGCUUAAGACAGCAGGACGGUGGCCAUGGAAGUCGGAAUCCGCUAGGGGGGGGGGGUAAAAAAAAAGGG
rnacentral:rRNA from 1 species